GAUGUUGUUCCUUUAGGGUAUGAGGUUUGGGUUUAGAGUCUAAGUUUAGGUUUAGAAUCUAGGGUUUGGGUUUAGGGUAUAGGGUCUAGGGUUUAGGGUCUAAGUUUAGGGUUUACGGUUUGGGAUUAGGGUCUAGGAUUUGGGUUUAGGGUAUAGGGUUUUAGGGUAUAGAGUUUGGGUUUAGAAUUUAGGGUAUAGGGUAUAGGGGUUAGGGUUUAGAUUUAGAGUUUAUGAUUUAGAAUUUAUGAUUUAGAGUUUUGUUAGUGGCGUUACCG
rnacentral:lncRNA from 1 species